rnacentral:rRNA from 1 species
UACGGAGGGCGCGAGCGUUGUCCGGAAUCACUGGGCGUAAAGGGCGCGUAGGCGGCGCGGGCAGUCAACGGUGAAAGCUCGGGGCUCAACCCCGAGUCGGCCGUCGAUACUCCCGUGCUUGAGCACUGUAGAGGCAGGUGGAAUUCCGGGUGUAGCGGUGGAAUGCGUAGAGAUCCGGAAGAACACCGGUGGCGAAGGCGGCCUGCUGGGCAGUAGCUGACGCUGAUGCGCGACAGCGUGGGGAGCAAACAGG